UGCGAUAACAAAAGUUGAUGGCUUAAUUAAAUAUUCCAGUAAAACAAUACACAAUCUACAAUGACUUUAAAGAAUAUUUCCAAACUAAAUAACUACAGAGCGGGAUGGCCCGGGCCUAAGAUGCAUUUAACGACGUUGCUGCAUGUCAUUGAACACGGGUUCCACUUUAACGAAUGACAUCAGCUUCAUAAACUAAUGCUGUGCAUUAUGGCUCACUUUCCCUGAUUUUAGCUUUUCUUUAAGGCAGCCAAACCGCCAGCUCUGCAUUGACCAGACUAGGAUUACAGUAAGGUCCUCAACAUGCUCUAUGGAGAUCGUAAAAGUGGUUCUCCUAAUUCUACUGCAGACUUUCCACAAUGCAAAGUAUAUCAAGAAUACGGGCCCUGUGAUCCAGUGAUGUGAUAUCCACAUUGAUAAUGAAUGGUGUGUUUUAUGCCUGGUCUGGAACUGGUCCAAACACACUUUCUUUCUUUCUUUUUUCUUCCUUUCUUUCUUUCUUUCUUUCUUUCUUUCUUUCUUUCUUUCUUUCUUUCUUUCUUUCUUUCUUUCUUUCUUUCUUUCUUUCUUUCUUUCUUUCUUUCUUUCUUCUUUCUUUCUUUCUUUCUUUCUUUCUUUCUUUCUUUUUUUUUUUUCUUUCUUUCUUUCUUUCUUUCUUUCUUUCUUUCUUUCUUUCUUUCUUUCUUUCUUUCUUUCUUUCUUUCUCUCUCUCUCUCUCUCUCUCUCUCUCUCUCUCUCACACACACACACACACAGCUUUUUCUAUACUGUGUAGUAAAUCAGAUAAUGAUUGGCCUCGGGUGUCACGUAAUGGGGAAGUUUUAAAAUGUUCAUGUCAUUAUUUGUGGUGUUGGUUGGGAUCACUUCAUUUGAAUGGCAUUGUUUGUUGAUACGAACGUUGAAGUACACACUCCAGGGACUGUAGGUGUUGGGGUAAUGAUUGACUGGGAAAAAGUGUCUCAUCUUGGGGUGAUGUUAGAUGUGUCUUGGUGUUCAGCUCCUGGUGAUCCACUGGUUGAUUUGACAGCCUGGGAAUAUCAGACAUCUCAGUGAGAAUUCCAGACACAACCUGAAGAAGAUGGAACUGUUGUGACUUGACAUCAAACCAGAUGAAAACGUAGCAAAUGCAACAUGUUUCAACUUGAUGCGUCCACUCUCAAGCUUUCCAGACAUCUGUCUGGGAGUUUCACUGUACAUGUCUGAUGUUGUGUCUUGUCUUCCUUUUUACAACAUUUAGUUAUACACGAAUACACCCUAAAUCAUUCCACUGAACACCAAAGCCACUGGAGGCUAUUUUAUUAUGAUCAUACCAUAGGAAAUCAAGCUAUAAUGGAUUACAUUCAAAGUACUAAAGCAGACUCAACAUGUAGCAAUGCAUACUCCAGUGAGUACGUCAGACACCUGUCAAACACUAACACAGGAAUCCUGACAAGUUAAUUGCAG
ensembl:lncRNA